rnacentral:rRNA from 1 species
GGCCGUAACUAUAACGGUCCUAAGGUAGCGAAAUUCCUUGUCGGCUAAAUACUGACCUGCACGAAAGGCAUAAUGAUCUCUCAACUGUCUCAACACUAGACUCGGUGAAAUUAUGGUCCCAGUGAAAACGCUGGGUUCCCGCAUCAAGACGAAAAGACCCCAUGGAGCUUUACUAUAACUUCGUAUUGGAAUUUGGCCUAACAUGUGUAGGAUAGGUGGGAGACUUUGAAGCUGAGACGCCAGUAGCAGUGGAGUCAACCUUGAAAUACCACCCUUGUUAUGUUGAAUUUCUAACUUACCAUCAUAAUCAGGUGGGAGGACAGUGCGUGGUGGGUAGUUUGACUGGGGCGGUCGCCUCCUAAAGAGUAACGGAGGCGUUCAAAGGUACACUCAGUACGGUCAGAAACCGUAUGUAGAGCGCAAAGGCAGAAGUGUGCUUGACUGUGAGACAUACAAGUCGAGCAGGUGCGAAAGCAGGACUUAGUGAUCCGGCUGUACAUUGUGGAAUGGCAGUCGCUCAACGGAUAAAAGUUACCCUGGGGAUAACAGGCUAAUCUUGCCCAAGAGAUCACAUCGACGGCAAGGUUUGGCACCUCGAUGUCGGCUCAUCGCAUCCUGGAGCUGGAGUCGGUUCCAAGGGUUGGGCUGUUCGCCCAUUAAAGCGGUACGCGAGCUGGGUUCAAAACGUCGUGAGACAGUUUGGUCCCUAUCUGAUGUGGGCGUUGGAAUAUUGAUGAGAGCCGCUCUUAGUACGAGAGGACCGGAGUGGACGUACCGCUGGUGUUCCAGUUGUUCCGCCAGGAGCAUGGCUGGGUAGCUAAGUACGGAAAGGAUAACCGCUGAAAGCAUCUAAGUGGGAAGCCUCCUCAGAGAUUAGUAUUCCCUUGAAAUUCCUUAUAGACUAUGAGGUUGAUAGGCUGGAUGUGUAAGCACAGUAAUGUGUUGAGCUGACCAGUACUAAUAAAUUGAAAGGUUUAAAAG